UACAGAGGUCUCAAGCGUUGUUCGGAAUUACUGGGCGUAAAGGCUCGUAGGCGGCCAACUAAGUCAGACGUGAAAUCCCUCGGCUUAACCGGGGAACUGCAUCUGAUACUGGAUGGCUUGAGUUCGGGAGAGGGAUGCGGAAUUCCAGGUGUAGCGGUGAAAUGCGUAGAUAUCUGGAGGAAUACCGGUGGCGAAGGCGGCAUCCUGGACCGACAUUGACGCUGAACGGCG
rnacentral:rRNA from 1 species